rnacentral:rRNA from 1 species
GACGAACGCUGGCGGCGUGCCUAAUACAUGCAAGUCGAGCGGACCACUUCGGUGGUCAGCGGCGGACGGGUGAGUAACACGUGGGCAACCUGCCUGUAAGACUGGGAUAACACCGGGAAACCGGUGCUAAUACCGGAUAAUCCUUUCCUUCACAUGAAGGGAAGCUGAAAGACGGUUUCGGCUGUCACUUACAGAUGGGCCCGCGGCGCAUUAGCUAGUUGGUGAGGUAACGGCUCACCAAGGCAACGAGGGGUAGCCGAGCUGGGAGGGGGAUCGGCCACACUGGGACUGAGACACGGCCCAGACUCCUACGGGAGGCAGCAGUAGGGAAUCUUCCGCAAUGGACGAAAGUCUGACGGAGCAACGCCGCGUGAGCGAUGAAGGCCUUCGGGUCGUAAAGCUCUGUUGUCAGGGAAGAACAAGUACCGGAGUAACUGCCGGCACCUUGACGGUACCUGACCAGAAAGCCACGGCUAACUACGUGCCAGCAGCCGCUGUAACAC